CCUACGGGAGGCAGCAGUGGGGAAUAUUGCACAAUGGGGGAAACCCUGAUGCAGCGACGCCGCGUGAAGGAAGAAGUAUUUCGGUAUGUAAACUUCUAUCAGCAGGGAAGAAAAUGACGGUACCUAACUAAGAAGCCCCGGCUAACUACGUCACAGCAGCCGCGGUAAUACGUAGGGGGCAAGCUUUAUCCGGUUUUACUGGGUGUAAAGGGAGCGUAGACGGCAGUGCAAGUCUGGAGUGAAAGGCGGGGGCUCAAGCCCCGGACUGCUCUGGAAACUGUACGGCUGGAGUGCAGGAGAGGUAAGUGGAAUUCCUAGUGUAGCGGUGAAAUGGGUAGAUAUUAGGGGGAAAACCAGUGGCGAAGGCGGCUUACUGGACUGUAACUGACGUUGAGGGUCGAAAGCGUGGGGAGCAAACAGGAUUAGAUACCCUUGUAGU
rnacentral:rRNA from 1 species